rnacentral:rRNA from 1 species
GUGCCAGCAGCCGCGGUAAUACGAACUGUGCAAACGUUAUUCGGAAUCACUGGGCUUACAGGGUGCGUAGGCGGCUUGCUAAGUAGGGUGUGAAAGCCCCCGGCUUAACCGGGGAACUGCGCCUUAAACUGGCGAGCUAGAGUGAGAUAGGGGUGUGCGGAACUUCCGGUGGAGCGGUGAAAUGUGUUGAUAUCGGAAGGAACGCCGGUGGCGAAAGCGGCACACUGGAUCUCAACUGACGCUGAGGCACGAAAGCCAGGGUAGCGAACGGGAUUAGAUACCCUAGUAGUCC